AUGGCACCAACCACGAACCAGAGCAGCGGGUCGGCGCCACUGACCGUGAACCCGGUGGUGCAGCGCGCCGUCGUCGGCGCGCAGCUGCCGACGACGUCGCCGUGCCGCACGCCCAAGUCGCCGCCGCCGUCGUACGGGAGCAUCGUCACCGUGCUGAGCAUCGACGGCGGCGGCGUCCGCGGCAUCAUCCCGGGCACCAUCCUCGCCAGCCUCGAGGAGAAGCUGCAGAGGAUAGACGGCGCCGACGCGAGGAUCGCCGACUACUUCGACGUGAUCGCCGGGACGAGCACCGGCGGGCUGAGCAUGGCGGGGCCAAAGUACGACGGCAAGUACCUGCACUCGGUGGUGCAGUCGCUGCUCGGCGAUAAGCGAGUUAAUGAGACGCUCACCAACGUCGUCAUCCCCACCUUCGACAUCAAGCUCCUCCAGCCCAUCACCUUCUCCAGAUACGACGUAAUUAAACGUGUCCAAUAACUUCAAUAUUAAUUAGUGAUAUAUAUAUAUCAAUGUACUGACACAUGCGAUGCAUAUAUAUAUACAUAUCGCAUGCAGGCCCAGAUCGAUGUGUCCAAGAACGCUCUCCUGUCGGACGUGUGCAUCAGCACGUCGGCGGCGCCGACGUACCUCCCCGGCCACCGCUUCCAGACCACGGACAAGGACGGCAAGCACCGGGAAUUCAACCUCGACGACUUCUUCCCGAUCAAGCCGGCGGACUACGGCAAGUUCAUGAUCCUGUCGCUGGGCACCGGCUCGGCCAAGAUCGAGGAGAAGUACGACGCCGUUCAGUCCGGCAAGUGGGGGAUGAUCAACUGGGUCUACCACGACGGCUCGUCGCCGCUGAUCGACAGCUUCAGCCAGGCCAGCGCCGACCUCGUCGACAUCCACGCCUCCGUGCUCUUCCAGGCGCUGCGCUGCGAGAAGAGCUACCUCCGCAUCCAGGACGACGAGCUCACCGGCGACACGGCGUCCGUCGACGUCUCCACGCCGGAGAACCUGAACCGGCUGGUCGAAGUCGGCAAGGCGCUGCUCAAGAAGCGGGUGUGCAAGGUGAACCUCGAGACCGGCAAGAACGAGCCCGACAUGAGCAGGGGCACCAACGAGGAGGAGCUGGACCAUUUCGCGAAGAUGCUGUCCGACGAACGCAAGGCCAGGCUCCAGAAGAAGGCCUGCCUUCAGUAAACAUGAAUUCACGGACAUGCAUGCAUAUGCAUGUAUCGAAUAUUUGUGUAGCAAAUUCCCUCCCUAAACCAACAGCAUAAUCAUUAGUCGUAACCCAUGCAUGCAUUCGAACAGGCUAUUUCUGUUACAUUUGUACUUUAAUUUUGUUGGAAAAGUUAUAUGUAAACUUUGUUUGUCGUAUAUAUGGAAUAAAGUACUACAAAAUUUAAUUU
rnacentral:lncRNA from 3 species